UUUAACCUACGGGGGGCAGCAGUGAGGAAUAUUGGUCAAUGGGCGGAAGCCUGAACCAGCCAAGUCGCGUGAGGGAAGAAGGCCCUGCGGGUCGCAGACCUCUUUGGACGGGGAGCAAGGCCGCCGACGUGUCGGCGGAAGGAGAGUACCCGUAGAACAAGCAUCGGCUAACUCCGUGCCAGCAGCCGCGGUAAUACGGAGGAUGCGAGCGUUAUCCGGAUUUACUGGGGGUAAAGGGAGCGUAGACGGUCAUUCAAGCCAGAUGUGAAAGCCCGGGGCUCAACCCCGGGACUGCAUUUGGAACG
rnacentral:rRNA from 1 species